CUUAAUUUCCCUCUCAUUAAGCCAACCUAAAAUUGAGAUGUGCCUACUAAUGAGACAUUGAAGUGAGGUUUACCAAAAGAAAUAUAGUACAUAUGUACACUUCUCCCAAUUAAGGAGGCAGUGACCAGCGCUAUCAUUAUCAACUUGGGAUGCGGCUUCCCUGUUCCUAAUUUUUGUUCCCAUCCCUGUUUCUUGCCAGAUGUCAAUCGCUUAUUGGUUUCGUAUUUUCUAGUGGGCCUCCACACCCUUGCGCCUCCGUCACACGCAUGGCGUUAAGUCUCCGUUUAAUUCUGAGCCAUCAGCUAUGGUACGGAGGUAAGCUAGCUUCAUGGGGUUGCCGGCGGCGGCUGAUUUGGUCCCUUGCAGCCGAGCACAAGCGACGGGCGAGCAGAUCGGCGACCUCGCCGGCGAGCUCGAGCACCACGCAGUGCAUUAGGCGACACAACAUCAAUCUCAAGUGCGGGCCACCAAUUCGAUUGCCUUGCUUCCGAGUUCCAGCUUGAGCUCUUGGAACUAGCAGGCCAGCGGAUGAAUCAUCAGGCUCAACAAGAUUUGUGAAUGACGUCGUUGCAGCAGAUGUAUUGUCCAAGAACAUGGGACUUGCUCCUGCAUCAUGCAGUUGUGAUGCCUUUGAUGGAGGUAUCAUGCUGUUGUUUAGCAUAGCACCAAGAUCUGGCGUCGAUGCCGGUGCUUGAUAAGAGAGAUUAAUUUAUCAAGAUGCUAAUGCAUGUUUAGAUGUGAGUUGUUUGGAUGCUGGAGGAUUUAACGGGAGAACUGAGACAAAUGGCGCCAUAAUUCUUUUUCCCGCCAGCAAUUCUAUCUAUUUGGCGCCUAAAAUAUGUUAGUAAAGUUAAUGGUGUUGUUUGUAAGUAUUAAACGGAGAUGUAAUGCCGUUCGUGAGACAGAGGCGCAAGGGUGUGGAGGCCCACUAGAAAAUACGAUACCAAUAAGCGAUUGA